rnacentral:rRNA from 1 species
ACGGGGCAUUGCCUUAGUAGCGGCGAGUGAAGCGGCAAAAGCUCAAAUUUGAAAUCUGGCGCCUUCGGUGUCCGAGUUGUAAUUUGAAGAUUGUAACCUUGGGGUUGGCUCUUGUCUAUGUUUCUUGGAACAGGACGUCACAGAGGGUGAGAAUCCCGUGCGAUGAGAUGCCCAAUUCUAUGUAAGGUGCUUUCGAAGAGUCGAGUUGUUUGGGAAUGCAGCUCUAAGUGGGUGGUAAAUUCCAUCUAAAGCUAAAUAUUGGCGAGAGACCGAUAGCGAACAAGUACAGUGAUGGAAAGAUGAAAAGAACUUUGAAAAGAGAGUGAAAAAGUACGUGAAAUUGUUGAAAGGGAAGGGUUUGAGAUCAGACUCGAUAUUUUGUGAGCCUUGCCUUCGUGGCGGGGUGACCCGCAGCUUAUCGGGCCAGCAUCGGUUUGGGCGGUAGGAUAAUGGCGUAGGAAUGUGACUUUACUUCGGUGAAGUGUUAUAGCCUGCGUUGAUGCUGCCUGCCUAGACCGAGGACUGCGAUUUUAUCAAGGAUGCUGGCAUAAUGAUCCCAAACCGCCCGUCUUGAAMMAMGGGACMCAAAA